rnacentral:lncRNA from 1 species
ACUGUGCCAGAUUCUGCCAGAAACAGAAAAUUAUAGGGCAUGGUUCCUGCUUGCAGAGUAGUGAAUAGAGCUGAGGAAAUAAGAGUUAACAGUGAAGAAAUACAGAAUGACAAUGCAUAUUUUAAUGCUACGUUGUGUGGGAAGUCUAAGAGCAGGGGUCGGCAGACCUUUUCUGUAAAGAGCCAGAUUGUAAAUAUUUUAGGCUUUGAGGGACAAAUGGUCUCUGCUGCAAGCUACUCAACUCUGCUGUUGUAGCUCAAAAGCAACCACAGAUGAUAGCUGGAGUUGGCUGCAGAGGAUGCACACGGUGGAAAACUUUGCAAAAGACACCGACUGCACGGAGCCACUGUCCAGUCACCGUCAUCCCAUAGUGACUGUUUUACAGAAGAUGUGGCUGAAGAUGUGUCUCUGCAGUCUCCCCCAGGCCUGUGUGUGCGUUCAGCCAGGCCCGUGGAGGAAACGCGAGGCAGCCAGGAGGAUGCGAAGGCUGGGAGAGGAGAUGAGGACGCGCAGCCCGGCCUCUCGCUCUGCUCCUGGAUGAGCCGUUCUUAACUAUGGACAAAUUCAAGAGUCCUUGUGCCUGGACGGGAACAAACUGCAUCUUCCUUUUCACUGACCUCUAAUGCGUAACGGAAUUUAGCAUCUCCUUCCACUGUGGGGCGAGCAUCAGACAGCAGUGGCAGCAGCUCCUGCCACGUGGUCACGACAGAAACCCCAGAUACCUGCACACAGUGUUACAGCUAUCCAGAGAUACUGCUAUGCUCAUCACUGCUUCCAAGUGCCCAGUUCACUAGACUUGCUGCUAGCUCUUGCUGUUUAAUAUGUGAAAGUAGCCCAUCUAUUCUUAUAACAGAAGCAUAAACACUGUUUGAUAAUUCUGUAUGUUUUAGUAUCACUGGCUUCCUUUGGAACUCUCCCCACCUCAUGCUUUAUUUAAUGCAUUUAAAAACAUUCUUCUGAGAAGGAGUUCAUGGCUUGCCACACAGACACAGAAGAUUAGGAGAUUUUUUUGGGGGGGGAAGGGAGUCUUGCGCUGUCAACCAGGCUGGAGUGCAGUGGCGCAAUCUCAGCUCACUCCAACCUCCACCUCCUGGGUUCAAGCGGUUCUCCUGACUCAGUCUCCCAGGUUCAAGCGAUUCUCCUGCCUCAGCCUCCUGACUAGCUGGGAUUACAGGCACCCAUCACCACGCCUGGCUAAUUUUUGUAUUUUAGUGGAGACGGGGUUUCAUCAUGUUGGUCAGGCUGGUCUUGAACUCCCGACCUCAUGAUCCACCCGCCUCGGCCUCCCAAAGUGCUGGGAUUACAGUGGGAUUACAGGCGUAAGCCACCGUGCUGGUCUUUUUUGCUUUUUUUUUUUUUUUUUUAAACAUUUUAUAUUUUAUUUUUUUAGAGAUGGGAUCUCACUGUUACCCAGGCUGGAGUGCAGUGGCACGAUCAUAGCUCACCGCAGCUUUGAACUGCUGGGCUCAAAUGAUCCUCCUGCCUCAGCCUCCUGAGUAGUGGGGACUACAGGUGCUUGCCACCAUGUCCAGCUAAUUUUUUGCUGUCGUUUUGUAGAAAUGGGGUCUUGCUAUGUUGCCCAGGUGCAUCUCAAACUCCUGGCCUCAAGAGAUCCUCCUGCCUUAGCCUCUCAAAUAACUGGGAUUAUAGCCAUGAGCCACUACACCU